rnacentral:lncRNA from 1 species
UUUGUGAGAGCUGAGAGUGAUUGAGAGGGGUUCGUUGAGAGCGAGAGAGGGAUUCGUGUGAGAGACGGAAAGAUGCGAGUGAGAUGCUGAGGUACGAGCGAUUGUGAGAUUGAGAGAAAUGUGAGGUUUGGUGUGAAGGAGAUUGUGAGAGUUGAUGAGCGUUUUCGAGAGCGGAGAGAGAUUUCAUUGAGGUUCUUUGUGUGAAGCAGAUGGGGAGGACGAGGACGAUGAAGCUGCUUCUGUGUUCUCCGUUUCCAUUUUCCUGUUUUUUCUUUUUUUAAUUUAAUUAGUUUUUUAACACAAAAAAACCAUAAAAGAUGUUUAAUUUGUUUUUUUAUUCUUUUUUAUUUUCAUCCCGGUUUAUAUAUUCAACGUAGCAGUACAAUAUUAAAUAACCCUAAGUGGUCUGGUGGAGAAGGGCAGUGUGUAUGUUCUUGAGUGGGGUGGGUUCAAUACUCAUGUGUGGCUUUUUUUGGCAUUUUAUUUCUUUUAGCUAUAUUAUUUUUUCUUUUAGCAUUUUAGUUUCUUU